rnacentral:rRNA from 1 species
AGUUGUUUAUGUAGCAAUAUUGUGAACAGCAAGUGGCGAACGGGUGAGUAACACGUAGAUAAUCUGCCUUUCAGACGGGGACAACUCAGGGAAACUUGUGCUAAUACCCGCUGAGACUACGGGAGGGGACUUCUGUAGCCAAAAGUGGGGGCAACCUCACGCUGAAAGAUGAGUCUGCGUCCUAUCAGCUAGUUGGUGGGGUAAAAGCCUACCAAGGCGAAGACGGGUAGCCGGCCUGAGAGGGUGAACGGCCACACUGGGACUGAGACACGGCCCAGACUCCUACGGGAGGCAGCAGUGAGGAAUUUUCCGCAAUGGGCGCAAGCCUGACGGAGCGACGCCGCGUGAGGGAUGACGGCCUUCGGGUUGUAAACCUCUUUUAUUAGGGAAAAAGGUUGGCAUGCUAACACCAUGUCAACUUGAUGGUACCUGUUGAAUAAGCCCCGGCUAACUACGUGCCAGCAGCCGCGGUAAUACGUAGGGGGCGAGCGUUGUCCAGAGUUACUGGGCGUAAAGAGCGUGUAGGCGGUUGAAAAAGUCAGGUGUGAAAUUCUUCGGCUCAACCGAGGGACUGCGCCUGAAACUUUUCGACUGGAGUUUGGGAGGGGCAACUGGAAUUCCUGGUGUAACGGUGAAAUGUGUAGAUAUC